AAGUCGUAACAAGGUAACCGUAGGUGAACCUGCGGUUGGAUCAUUAGUAAAUUUUGGGAACUCUGUUCCUGAACACUGUGUGCACCAUUGUCUGUCUCUGGCGGAACCAGGAGGGGUUCGUGUGUUCUGAGGUUCUUGCCUUCCCGGUAACGGGGGUGGGAAUUGAUGGACAGGUGGGCUCUCCCUCCGCCGAAUGUUUUGAACCAACCCAUGUCUGUAAAUUUUUGUCUGAUCUUGGUUUCUUUGUCUGUCGCCGUGAGGUGUGCAGUUUGAAAUCUUUAAAACAACUUUUGACAACGGAUCUCUUGGCUCUC
rnacentral:misc_RNA from 1 species